rnacentral:lncRNA from 1 species
CCUAGUGGCAGCAAGAGAGAAGAAUAGCAUCCUCGUGAGAUUGAAAGAAGGAAGGAGGACGUGGAGCUCUCUUCCUCGAUGGGAGAAGAAGAAGACGAGAAGGGAGAUUGCGAUUCCGGCGACCAAACCAUCAGCAAGAGAGGGGAUUGACGACGACGGAAACUCGGAGAUGAUGGAGCAUCGGUGGAGUUUGGCUCAAGAGAUCCGGUGGGAGAAAGGAGAGAGAAGCGGAGGAGAUCGAGGCUGGAGAUCAUAGGCGGACUCUGAAGAGCGGCGGCGUCGGUUACCUGUUGAGAGAGGAAGCUACAGCGUUCGAGACCACCUGGUAGUUGGCCUAACCCACGGCAGCAAUCACGGCUUUGGAGGAGAUCGUGGGCACAUGAGGCACGUUGCGCGGACAGCGGCGGCGCGGAGGACGAGAGCAGGCUACCACGGCGGAAGGGACAGCGAAGACGAGUUGUUAA